CAGUCGCCACGGGAAUACAGAGGGUGCGAGCGUUAAUCGGAUUUACUGGGCGUAAAGCGUGCGUAGGCGGCUUUUUAAGUCGGAUGUGAAAUCCCUGAGCUUAACUUAGGAAUUGCAUUCGAUACUGGGAAGCUAGAGUAUGGGAGAUGAUGGUAGAAUUCCAGGUGUAGCGGUGAAAUGCGUAGAGAUCUGGAGGAAUACCGAUGGCGAAGGCAGCCAUCUGGCCUAAUACUGACGCUGAGGUACGAAAGCAUGGGGAGCAAACAGGAUUAGAUACCCCCGUAGUCCCUGUCUCUUAUAC
rnacentral:rRNA from 1 species